UACGUAGGGUGCAGGCGUUGCCCGGAUUUAUUGGGCGUAAAGGGCGCGCAGGCGGCUACGCACGUCCGUUGUGAAAAUCGCUCGGCUCAACUGGGCGGGGUCAGCGGAUACGGCGUAGCUGGAGCAAGCUAGGGGGCAAUGGAAUUCCCGGUGUAGUGGUGGAAUGCGUAGAUAUCGGGGAGGAACACCAGUGGCGAAGGCGGUUGCCUGGAGCUUUGCUGACGCUGAGGGCGCGAAAAGCG
rnacentral:rRNA from 1 species